rnacentral:lncRNA from 1 species
CUCGCAGGAGACAUGGCAGCUGGAGAGAGCAUGCUAACUUGGUUAAGAUCCAUAGAUUGUUUCCGAGAAAGACCUGGUGGCUUAGAAGUAGGUGGAGGAGGUGGAGGAGUUGGGGAUUUUAGAUGGCCACUUGACUGCUGUGGACUAAAGAUAUUACCUGAAGAGCUACUUCCUGAACUUGAAGGUAAUUUGAUGGGAGGAGGUCGGUGUUUUACACCUUUCCCCAAUACUGAAGACUGAACAGAGCCUGAUAUACUUUCGGGCUGUUCCAUUUCCUUCCCUGGAGAAAGAUGACUAAGAUUGAUCGAUCCACCUGAAUUAUGAAACAUUUUCACAGGACAUUUAGCUUCACUUUUUACCAACUCAUGAU